AGUGAACGCUGGCGGUAGGCCUAACACAUGCAAGUCGAACGGCAGCACAGUAAGAGCUUGUUCUUACGGGUGGCGAGUGGCGGACGGGUGAGGAGUACAUCGGAAUCUACUUUUUCGUGGGGGAUAACGUAGGGAAACUUUCGCUAAUACCGCAUACGACCUACGGGUGAAAGCAGGGGAUCUUCGGACCUUGCUCGAUUGGAUGAGCCGAUGUCGGUUUAGCUAGUUGGCGGGGUAAAGGCCCACAAAGGCGACGAUCCGUCGCUGGUAUGAGAGGAGGAUCAGCCACACGGGAACUGAGACACGGUCCAGACUCCUACGGGAGGAAGCAUGGGGGAAUAUUGGACAAUGGGCGCAAGCCUGAGCCAGCCAUACCGCGUGGGUGAAGAAGGCCUUCGGGUUGUAAAGCCCGUUUGUUGGGAAAGAAAAGCAUCAGGUUAAUACCCCGCUGUUCUGACGGUACCCAAAGAAUAAGCACCGGCUAACUUCGUG
rnacentral:rRNA from 1 species